UACGUAGGGUGCGAGCGUUAAUCGGAAUUACUGGGCGUAAAGCGUGCGCAGGCGGUGAUGUAAGACAGGUGUGAAAUCCCCGGGCUUAACCUGGGAACUGCAUUUGUGACUGCAUCGCUGGAGUGCGGCAGAGGGGGAUGGAAUUCCAGGUGUAGCGGUGAAAUGCGUAGAUAUCUGGAGGAACACCGGUGGCGAAGGCGGCAUCCUGGACCGACACUGACGCUGAGGAGCGAAAGCCAGGGGAGCAAACGGG
rnacentral:rRNA from 1 species